rnacentral:rRNA from 1 species
GAUGAACGCUGGCGGCGUGCCUAAUACAUGCAAGUCGAGCGAACGGACGAGAAGCUUGCUUCUCUGAUGUUAGCGGCGGACGGGUGAGUAACACGUGGAUAACCUACCUAUAAGACUGGGAUAACUUCGGGAAACCGGAGCUAAUACCGGAUAAUAUUUUGAACCGCAUGGUUCAAAAGUGAAAGACGGUCUUGCUGUCACUUAUAGAUGGAUCCGCGCUGCAUUAGCUAGUUGGUAAGGUAACGGCUUACCAAGGCAACGAUGCAUAGCCGACCUGAGAGGGUGAUCGGCCACACUGGAACUGAGACACGGUCCAGACUCCUACGGGAGGCAGCAGUAGGGAAUCUUCCGCAAAGGGCGAAAGCCUGACGGAGCAACGCCGCGUGCGUGAUGAAGGUCUUCGGAUCGUAAAACUCUGUUAUUAGGGAAGAACAUAUGUGUAAGUAACUGUGCACAUCUUGACGGUACCUAAUCAGAAAGCCACGGCUAACUACGUG